GUUUGAGUUGGCGCGGCACUGCGGGUGGGAGAUCAACGCAGCGGCGUCGUCGUCGGCCACGCUCCGUGAUGUCGUCCGUGUUACAGGGAGUCGGGGUAGUUUGUUCGGGUCGACGGGCAUGGCGAGGAUGGCGAGGCGGCCACCGCGUGCUGGAGGAGCCCGAGGCCGAGGAGGCUACCCGGCGCAGCCCUCGCAGCCCCGCGCCCCUCCGCACGCCGCUUCGCCCCGUGCAGAGCGCGGCCGCGGAGCCCCGGCGAGGGCGCGGAGGAGGCCUCGCGGGCCUCGCUCAGACUCUGCACAAGGCGUAUCAAGGCAGAAAGAACUUUCAUGCCCUGGAGCCAGACUCCCCAUGUCCACCCACAGCCUGCAAUCCGGGAGGACUGCAUGCGGGCCCAUGCAAGACCUCCGCAGGCAGAAGCAGCCCAGCAGGACGCGGCCCCAGGAAGGGCACGGGCAGGGCCACCCGCUCACCCCGGCAAGGCCGCCUAUCCUCUCGCAAGGCGGACCAAGGGCUUGGUGUGAGCCAGCGACCCAUCCGGGCAGCUGCAUUGCGCAGUCCCUACUGCUCUCCUGUUGGUUCGUCGGUGAAAAGAAGUAUCCUUGCUCGAAGGGGCAAUUUCAUGACUCCUCGGCGAUUCCAACAAGAGCUUGACCAUGUGGCCAGUGGGAUACGCAACCUCAAGAACGUCUCCAAGUCGUUUGAUGAUUGCAUUGAAGAGGAUGAGAGUGAUUUGAUUCCUAUAUAUAUCCCAGAAUGAAGAAUCAGGCGGGCGGCACGGGAGCAGUGCUGGCAACUGAUGGUCUCAAACUUGUGCGCGACAACCGGGAGGCACUCUUGCGGUUUCAAACGUACAUCUCUGCACCGCUUCUCCGCUCGCCUUCAUUCACUGGGCAGUCUCGCGAACAAUGUGAUCACCCAAAGAGGGAAAAAAACAUAAAUAAUGUGACCAAUGUGUUUUGCCGAUGAGAACAAAAGUCACACCAAGGUGUUGUAGCCUAAUUAUGUAUGCAAACAGUUUAUUUGUGCUUUCUUAAACUGCCAAACUGAAGAAAAAGUAUCGCAUUGUAGCGAUUCUAAGAGGUCAAACACUCGCAUAUUGAUGCUUUUAUAACUUAAUAGUUCUUAUGUCUACUAUAUGCAUUCCACUGCUAAAAUUUAUAAACCAUAGUGCUGUUAUACUAUGCUCUAACUUAUGGUGAUAGAUGCUGAAACUAUCUCACAAACACGUUACCUAUAUAUGCAAUAUGUACACACUACCUGUUAGCUUACAGAGUUGAAGAGACAACUCGUUUUUUCCAAAUCUUGUUUUUUGUGGGUAAGGGGGCAUUUGCCAUACAUUUCCUAUUCUGUGCCAAGCAAGGGAGUUAAAUGUUAACAUCUUAUAGCAAUGUAAAAUUUUAUUACUGUAUUUGCUGCUUAUUUUAAAAUUCUACAUUUGCUUAAUCGUCAUUGUGGAGUGUUAAUGAUUUUUCGUAUGUAUUCUUUUAAAGGCAAUUAGUCUUGUCGUGACGUUGCAAUUACAGUUUUUAUUUUUGGUUGAGAGGUUAAAAUGACGUGCCUCUUCAACGUCGUAGUUCAGAUUAUUUAGAUGCAAGAUGUGAAUGUAGCAUGUAAUCUACGUGCUGUGCUCGGGAGGUAAUCCCAGCAUGCAGAGGCUGCAGAUUAUCCAUGUUCCACAGUGUAACGCGAUCCUGAAACAGUUGUUUGUUUAUGGAACUACUUAUACUGGUAGGAACCUCCUGGUUACACCAGCCCACGGGAUUAUUGUGUCCGUCCGUCCGUCGUGCAGGGAGGGGCUGGGUGAGGAGGGAGGGGGCUAGGUUGGGGGUGGGGCUGAGUAGGGAGGGGCUGGUCACCUUGUGGUGCCCUUAUAAAACUCAACGUUUAACCUACUCACGCCGGCUUGUGCUCGCCCUCAGUCGGGCAUAUUUGCGGAAUACACCACGCCGCCGUUGACCCUGCAGGCCAUUGACCGAGCAACCCGACGUUCCUACCAGCUCUCUCCGCAGGAGAAUGUGUUGUUGCAAAGUGUUAACUGGUGAGCAAGCGGAAUCCGUUGAGCAGCUGCCCCCUGCAGAAAUUCCAAGAGGUGGCAGUGCUCUCGUUGAAAUGCCUCUUACACCAAGGCAUUGUCUACCAAGUAUUGUAAGCUUGCUUUGAAAUUUCAAGUAAAAAUUGUGACCUGUUACAUUUCUGGAAGAAACUUACUCUUGAGUAUCAGAUCUUUUGUGCAAACAAACAUUGUCAAUGACUGGCAUAUUUAAAAGUCAAACAUUUUGCGGGAUAUUUUGAUACAUUUUAGCUGGCAGUUGUAUUUAUGGUCAUGGAGUUCAUUCACUACACAUGGAAGGGGGGGGGGGGGCUCCAAAAUCUGUACAAAGGUAAUAUUAUUGACGAGAGAUGCGGUAGACGAGUACAACUUUGAGCACGAGUCUUAUUCUCAUGAAUAAAACAAUAAAAUAAUAAAAAUGUAAAACAAUAAAAAAUUA